UACGUAGGUGGCAAGCGUUAUCCGGAAUUAUUGGGCGUAAAGCGCGCGUAGGCGGUUUUUUAAGUCUGAUGUGAAAGCCCACGGCUCAACCGUGGAGGGUCAUUGGAAACUGGAAAACUUGAGUGCAGAAGAGGAAAGUGGAAUUCCAUGUGUAGCGGUGAAAUGCGUAGAUAUUGAGAAGAACACCAGUAGCGAAGGCGGCUUUCUGGACUGUAACUGACACUGAGGCACGAAAGCGUGGGUAGCAAACAGG
rnacentral:rRNA from 1 species